UAAACACCAGUUCCUGUGCGAUCACAGAAGUUAAGCAACGUUGAGCCGGUUCAGAACCUAGAUAGGUAACCCUUUGGGAAUACCAGGUGCUGUAAU